rnacentral:rRNA from 1 species
AGAGUUUGAUCAUGGCUCAGGAUGAACGCUGGCGGCGUGCAUAACACAUUCAAGUCGAACGGAGUUAUUCCUUCGGGGAUUACUUAGUGGCGGACGGGUGAGUAACGCGUGAGCAACCUGCCCUUGUGUGGGGGACAACAGUUGGAAACGACUGCUAAUACCGCAUAACACACACUGAUCGCAUGUUCGGUGUGUCAAAGAUUUAUUGCGCAAGGAUGGGCUCGCGUUGGAUUAGAUAGUUGGUGAGGUAACGGCUCACCAAGUCGACGAUCCAUAGCCGGACUGAGAGGUUGAACGGCCACAUUGGAACUGAGAAACGGUCCAGACUCCUACGGGAGGCAGCAGUGGGGAAUAUUGGGCAAUGGGCGAAAGCCUGACCCAGCGACGCCGCGUGCGGGAAGAAGGUCUUCGGAUUGUAAACCGCUUUUAUGAGGGACGAUAAUGACGGUACCUCAUGAAUAAGCCACGGCUAACUACGUGCCAGCAGCCGCGGUAAUACGUAGGUGGCAAGCGUUAUCCGGAUUUACUGGGUGUAAAGGGUGUGUAGGCGGGAAAGCAAGUCAGAUGUGAAAUUUACGGGCUCAACUCGUGAACUGCGUCUGAAACUGUUUUUCUUGAGGGUCGGAGAGGUAACUGGAAUUCCUGGUGUAGCGGUGAAAUGCGUAGAUAUCAGGAGGAACACCGGUGGCGAAGGCGAGUUACUGGACGAUUACUGACGCUGAGACACGAAAGUGUGGGGAGCAAACAGGAUUAGAUACCCUGGUAGUCCACACUGUAAACGAUGAAUGCUAGGUGUGGGGACGUAAGUUUCCGUGCCGCAGUUAACACAAUAAGCAUUCCACCUGGGGAGUACGGCCGCAAGGUUGAAACUCAAAGGAAUUGACGGGAGCCCGCACAAGCAGUGGAGUAUGUGGUUUAAUUCGACGCAACGCGAAGAACCUUACCAGGACUUGACAUCCCUUGACUACCUCGUAAUGGAGGGUCUCGAUCUUCGGAUUGACAAGGUGACAGGUGGUGCAUGGUUGUCGUCAGCUCGUGUCGUGAGAUGUUGGGUUAAGUCCCGCAACGAGCGCAACCCCUACGGUUAGUUGCUACGCAAGAGCACUCUGGCCGGACUGCCGUUGACAAAACGGAGGAAGGUGGGGACGACGUCAAAUCAUCAUGCCCCUUACGUUCUGGGCUACACACGUACUACAAUGGCGAAAACAAAGGGAAGCAAUAUCGCGAGAUGGAGCAAACCCCAUAAAAAUCGUCUCAGUUCGGAUUGGAGGCUGCAACCCGCCUCCAUGAAGCUGGAAUUGCUAGUAAUCGCGGGUCAGCAUACCGCGGUGAAUACGUUCCCGGGCUUUGUACACACCGCCCGUCAAACCAUGAAAGUCGGAAAUACCCAAAGUCAGUAUACUAACCUCGUGAGGUAGCUGCCUAAGGUAGGUUCGAUGAUUGGGGUUAAGUCGUAACAAGGUAGCCGUAUCGGAAGGUGCGGCUGGAACACCUCCUU